UGUUAAUAAGAUUGAAUUUGGAUAUAUCUUAUUGUAAUCACAGAUGACUCAAUGUUUGCUCUGAACAGUGCUGUAACUCCUUGAGUUGUACGAAAUGUAACAAAAAUAGUCCUAUCAUUUUUAAAUUGGAACACCAAAAAAUUGUACUUGAGAGUACAACUGCCCACUGUGGGGGAAAACAGUACAAACUUGUGGACAAAUUAUCUGAUUUGAGUUGCGUUGUGUUACUGGCCUUGCAUUUUUUGCCCUUUGCACAGAACUAUUUGUUAUAAAGACUUAACAAAAAUACCAUUUGUCUUAUUUUGUCUCGGACGUUAGGAUUAACUCACUGUAGUAGCAUCUGGGAAAUAGAAUUUGUUGGAUUAGGCACAUGUACCUGAGUGUAGAUGAUGCCAUAUGGUCUGAAUAUCAUAAAUAGGGUAAUAGAAAUGGUGGUAGUUACUGAAGAGUGCUGUUGUGUUUUACUUCUAAGUUGGAUAAAAAUUAGUCUUAAGCAUUAGUCUUACUAUCUUUGAAAUAAAGCCAUGUAUCUUCUAGUUAACCAUAAAAGUGAAUUUUUUAGGUGUCUGAUGUUGUUGGAAAAUAAACACUGAUUAAAACAACUGCUUACAGUGGUGCUCUAUUUGCACUUCUCCUUUAUUGCUGUAGUCACAGAAGUACUCGCAGGUUUGAAAGUGUUCAUCUGUAGGUGUUUGUAGGGGAGAGUAAGGGGUUCUUGCAAUGUAUGCUGCUUAACUAUUGAGGCCUUAAAGUGGGAAAACUGGUAAUGCAGAAAAUACUUGGUAUUACUGUAAUAAAAAAAAAACACAACAACAACAAACUAAGAAAUCAGUGAUCUUCAAAGCUACAGUGUCAAGGAAAGCUAAUGGUUUGUUUUUCAAGAAGGUGAGAAAACGUUUCUUUUUUUUACUAGAGAUUGUAAAUGUUUGUGGAGCGUUAGAGCUCUGAAUCUUGCACUGGUCUGACACGAGGACGUUGUGGAGCGCAAGCCUUGGGUUACUUUGGUGAGAAAUUUGUGGGUUUUUUUCCCCCUGCUGCAAUCCACAGAGCACUAGAAGAAGAGAUGUAUAAAGUAAUGUGAUACACUAACUUUAGCACUGAGCUGAAGCAUGCAUCUUUGAAGACUGUCAACGGCUUCCUUCAGGUGUCCUUAUCCAUUAUGUUAGGACUUUGUUCCCUGUUCAGGUUUUAUUCACUGUAAAAGACUUCAGCUUUUCCUGAUGAUAUGCGCUGUGUAAGACUAUUUGGGUCCUACAAUACCGAACUUGGUAGAAAUAGGUUAGAGUUACAUGGCAAGUCAUUACACCCCAUGUGUUUUAUUACUGUACCAUGACCUGCUGUAUGGUUGAAAGGAGGUUUAACAGUGUAUCCUGAGGGGAAAAAUGUAGUUCUUUUAAAAUAAUUUUGAAAUCUUUCUGUCUAAAUAAUGCACAAGAGUUAAGUGACAAAAUGCAGGAGAACUUAAAGAUAGAUAGCUACCCUUCCUUGACUCCUCAGUGCAUGCAGAUAGU
ensembl:lncRNA